rnacentral:sRNA from 1 species
UUACUUCUUCUAUUCUAGAUAGCGUGUC